rnacentral:rRNA from 1 species
UACGGAGGGGGCAAGCGUUUGUUCGGAUUUACUGGGCGUAAAGGGAGCGUAGGCGGUUAGUCAAGUUCGGUGUGAAAGCUUUACCACUUAACGGAAAGAGGUCACCGAAAACUGGCUGGCUAGAGUAGGGUAGAGGCAAGCGGAAUUCCUGGUGUAGCGGUGGAAUGUGUAGAUAUCAGGAAGAACAUCGGUGGCGAAGGCGGCUUGCUGGGCCCUUACUGACGCUGAGGCUCGAAAGCGUGGGGAGCAAACGGG